rnacentral:rRNA from 1 species
CGAUGAGAACCGAUGAAGACGUGGAGGCUGCGAUAAGCCACGGGGAGGUGCCGACCAACCUUCGAUCCGUGGAUUUCUGAAUGGGCAACCCAGCACCCGUCAUGGGGUGUUACUCCCGCCUGAACACAUAGGGCGGGUAGAGGGAACCAGGGGAAUUGAAAACAUCUCAGUACCCUGAGGAAAGGAAAACAACAGUGACUCCGUCAGUAGCGGCGAGCGAACGCGGAAGAGCCUAAACCGAACUGGUGUGAUAGCCCUACGGCGUUGCCAGUUCGGGGUUGUGGGACAUGAUGGCAGGAGCGUAGGACCUGCACAGAGUUACAAAGCUGCUGAGUAGUGGAAGCGUCUGGAAAGUCGCGCCGCAGAGGGUAACGGCCCCGUACACGAAACUCAUGCAGUCUCUGAUCAAUGCUCCCGAGUAACGCCGAAUCCGAGAAAGUCGGCGUGAAUCUGCGAGGACCACCUCGUAAGGCUAAGUAUUCCUCAUCGACCGAUAGUGAACUAGUACCGUGAGGGAAAGGUGAAAAGUACCCCC